CCUGCCUGUAAGACUGGGAUAACUCCGGGAAACCGGGGCUAAUACCGGAUAGUUCUUUUCCUCGCAUGAGGAAAAGUGGAAAGGCGGCUUCGGCUGCCACUUACAGAUGGACCCGCGGCGCAUUAGCUAGUUGGUGAGGUAACGGCUCACCAAGGCAACGAUGCGUAGCCGACCUGAGAGGGUGAUCGGCCACACUGGGACUGAGACACGGCCCAGACUCCUACGGGAGGCAGCAGUGGUC
rnacentral:rRNA from 2 species